UGCCUACCCAGACGUGCGGGCAAGGUUCCCGUCUUUCUACGGCCUUAUUCGUGCCACGCCACUUAUUGAUGACCAGCUCAACGUUUACCUUUCCACGGUCAACACAGGCACCAUCUACAAACUCAGCCCUGGUGGGAGCUUCAUUUG
rnacentral:SRP_RNA from 1 species